UACGUAGGGUGCAAGCGUUAAUCGGAAUUACUGGGCGUAAAGCGUGCGCAGGCGGUUGUGCAAGACAGAUGUGAAAUCCCCGGGCUUAACCUGGGAAUUGCAUUUGUGACUGCACGGCUAGAGUGUGUCAGAGGGGGGUGGAAUUCCGCGUGUAGCAGUGAAAUGCGUAGAGAUGCGGAGGAACACCGAUGGCGAAGGCAGCCCCCUGGGCUAACACUGACGCUCAGGCACGAAAGGCGUGGGGAGCAAACGAGG
rnacentral:rRNA from 1 species